GAGGAGGUGUCUAUAUUAACUAUGUGUUGUUGUGUAUUACACCACCAGUCCCCCAGGGGGCAGUAGUCCUGUGAGGAGGAGGAGGAGGUGUCUAUAUUAACUAUGUGUUGUUGUGUAUUACACCACCAGUCCCCCAGGGGGCAGUAGUCCUGUGAGGAGGAGGAGGAGGUGUCUAUAUUAACUAUGUGUUGUUGUGUAUUACACCACCAGUCCCCCAGGGGGCAGUAGUCCUGUGAGGAGGAGGAGGAGGAGGUGUCUAUAUUAACUAUGUGUUGUUGUGUAUUACACCACCAGUCCCCCAGGGGGCAGUAGUCCUGUGAGGAGGAGGAGGAGGUGUCUAUAUUAACUAUGUGUUGUUGUGUAUUACACCACCAGUCCCCCAGGGGGCAGUAGUCCUGUGAGGAGGAGGAGGAGGUGUCUAUAUUAACUAUGUGUUGUUGUGUAUUACACCACCAGUCCCCCAGGGGGCAGUAGUCCUGUGAGGAGGAGGAGGAGGUGUCUAUAUUAACUAUGUGUUGUUGUGUAUUACACCACCAGUCCCCCAGGGGGCAGUAGUCCUGUGAGGAGGAGGAGGAGGAGGUGUCUAUAUUAACUAUGUGUUGUUGUGUAUUACACCACCAGUCCCCCAGGGGGCAGUAGUCCUGUGAGGAGGAGGAGGAGGUGUCUAUAUUAACUAUGUGUUGUUGUGUAUUACACCACCAGUCCCCCAGGGGGCAGUAGUCCUGGGAGGAG